AAGUCUCCCCAGACAAGAUGAUUGAAAUGCAAGCAAAAAUUGAUGAGGAGAGAAAAGCACUUGAAACAAAGCUCGACAUGGAAGAAGAAGAAAGAAACAAGGCUAGAGCUGAAUUAGAGAAACGGGAAAAAGAUCUUCUUAAAGCCCAACAAGAGCAUCAGUCUUUGCUGGAAAAAUUAUCUGCCCUGGAAAAGAAGGUAAUUGUUGGUGGGGUUGACUUGUUGGCCAAAGCUGAGGAACAAGAGAAACUUCUUGAAGAAUCUAACAUGGAACUGGAAGAAAGGAGGAAAAGAGCAGAGCAACUUCGCAGAGAACUUGAGGAAAAAGAGCAAGAACGCUUGGAUAUUGAAGAAAAAUAUACCAGUUUGCAAGAGGAAGCACAGGGAAAGACCAAGAAGUUAAAGAAAGUUUGGACUAUGCUGAUGGCUGCAAAGUCAGAGAUGGCUGAUCUCCAACAAGAACAUCAGAGGGAAAUUGAAGGCCUACUGGAGAACAUUCGGCAACUUAGCCGGGAGCUUCGACUUCAGAUGCUUAUUAUUGAUAACUUUAUACCUCGGGAUUAUCAGGAAAUGAUUGAAAACUAUGUCCAUUGGAAUGAAGACAUAGGAGAAUGGCAGCUAGUGAGUAUUACCUUCAUUCUUUCACGUAAUAAUCAAAGAGUACUUCCUAUGGUCUAGAAAUUGUGCUGGCUACAGUGGGGAGGAACGUGGUCCAGUAGAUGAAUCAGAUGA
rnacentral:sRNA from 1 species